AGCAGCCGCGGUAAUUCCAGCUCCAAUAGCGUAUAUUAAAGUUGUUGCAGUUAAAAAGCUCGUAGUUGAAUUUCGGGGUUAGUAGGUUGGUCAUGCCUCUGGUAUGUACUGGUCUCACUGAUUCCUCCUUCCUGAUGAGCCGUAAUGCCAUUAAUUUGGUGUUGCGGGGAAUUUGGACUGUUACUUUGAAAAAUUAGAGUGUUUAAAGCAAGCUAACGCUUGAAUACAUUAGCAUGGAAUAAUGAAAUAGGACGUUCGAUCCUAUUUUGUUGGUUUCUAGGAUUGACGUAAUGAUUAAUAGGGAUAGUUGGGGGCAUUAGUAUUCAAUUGUCAGAGGUGAAAUUCUUGGAUUUAUUGAAGACUAACUACUGCGAAAGCAUUUGCCAAGGAUGUUUUCAUUAAUCAAGAACGAAAGUUAGGGGAUCGAAGACGAUCAGAUACCGUCGUAGUCUUAACCAUAAACUAUGCCGACUAGGGAUCGGAUGAUGUUAAUUUUUAAUGUACUCAUUCGGCGCCUUAC
rnacentral:rRNA from 1 species